rnacentral:rRNA from 1 species
AAGACGAACGGAUGCGAAAGCGUUUGCCAAGAANGUUUUCGCUAAUCAAGAACGAAAGUUAGAGGUUCGAAGGCGAUCAGAUACCGCCCUAGUUCUAACCAUAAACGAUGCCAGCCAGCGAUGCGCCGAAGUUCCUCCGAUGACUCGGCGCGCAGCUUCCGGGAAACCAAAGCUUUUGGGUUCCGGGGGAAGUAUGGUUGCAAAGCUGAAACUUAAAGGAAUUGACGGAAGGGCACCACCAGGAGUGGAGCCUGCGGCUUAAUUUGACUCAACACGGGAAACCUCACCAGGCCCGGACAUCGGCAGGAUUGACAGAUUGAGAGCUCUUUCUUGAUUCGAUGGUUGGUGGUGCAUGGCCGUUCUUAGUUGGUGGAGCGAUUUGUCUGGUUAAUUCCGAUAACGAACGAGACUC